AGCGAAAUUCCUUGUCAGGUAAGUUCUGACCCGCACGAAAGGUGUAAUGAUUUGGGAGCUGUCUCAACAAUGUACUCGGCGAAAUUGUAGUACUAGUGAAGAUGCUAGUUACCUGCGACAAGACAGAAAGACCCCAUGGAGCUUUACUGUAGUUUGAUACUGGGUUUUGGUCAUUUAUGUACAGGAUAGGUGGGAGACGAAGAGAUACUGGCGCCAGCUGGU
rnacentral:rRNA from 1 species